CAGCCGCGUAAUUCCAGCUCCAAUAGCGUAUAUUAAAGUUGUUGCAGUUAAAAAGCUCGUAGUUGAAUUUCGGGAUUGGCGCAUCGGUCGUGCCUCACGGGGUAUGAACUGGUGCAGUCAAUUUCUCACCUUCUGGAGAACCGCGAUGUCCUUAAUUGGAUGCCGCGGGGAACCAGGACCUUUACUUUGAAAAAAUUAGAGUGUUUAAAGCAGGCAUUUUUGCUUGAAUACAUUAGCAUGGAAUAAUAAAAUAGGACGGCAUGGUUCUAUUUUGUUGGUUUCUAGGACCACCGUAAUGAUUAAUAGGGAUAGUUGGGGGCAUUAGUAUUCAAUUGUCAGAGGUGAAAUUCUUGGAUUUAUUGAAGACUAACUACUGCGAAAGCAUUUGCCAAGGAUGUUUUCAUUAAUCAAGAACGAAAGUUAGGGGAUCGAAGACGAUCAGAUACCGUCGUAGUCUUAACCAUAAACUAUGCCGACUAGGAAUCAGACGAUGUUAAUUUUUUAAUGACUCGUUUGGCACCUUACG
rnacentral:misc_RNA from 1 species